UGCGCCUCCUUUCCCCCACGCCUCUUUCUCUCAAAUCUCCCUUCUCUCUCGCCUCUGCCGGAAACGUCUGCCACCGCCGGCACCGAUCAGCCGCCGGCCCGCCGGCCAUCUCUCCCUUCUUCCCUUCUCUCCUUCUUUCCUCUCUUCUCACUCUCUCUUUCGGUCUCCCUCUCCGCCAGCACCGCCGCCGGCUGGAAACUGCCGCUGCUGUCGUCGGGCUGCCGCCGCCGCUGCGCCGGCCGCCGUCGCCGUCGUCGCUCGGGAGAAAUUAAGAGGGGUUGAAAAGGAGCCAAGAAGUGUCGUUGUUUGCCGGAUUUCGCCACCACCGCCGGAUGCUGUCGCCGCCGCCGACCCGGCGCUGCCUCUGUUGCUGACAGAGGACAGAAACUCCAGCCAGGUCCAAACCAUUGAAGGGGAAACAGAUAAACAAAUUUCUGUUAGGAGAAAGCAUAGAGACAGCGUUGAGCCACUUUUUUUAUGCUAGCCUAUAUGCGCAAGGUCAAAUGAUCCCUUUAUGCUAACCAGGCCACUUUUCACAUUCACAACGAGUUUAUGAGUUUUCUAGAGAAUCGGUCCACCUAGAGCUCAAAUGCAUUUCCAAUUCCCCCCCGGCUUCGUCAGGAAUAAGUGGUAGCGUUUACUCAUCUAGCCUUGUUAGCAUUGGAAUGGGUGCUAUGCCCUAAACACCGGAAAUUGGCUCUGACGAUAUAGAACCUGUUGGAUCCCAGAUUCAUUCUAGUAAACCUUGCGGGCAACUAAAAACAAAAAUGAAUCAAAUUAGUAAAAUUAUGGUGAUCGUUUUCAGUUCCUUCAUCUCACAUUUCAAUUGACGAUGGUCCACAAACUCCUGAAAACGACAUCAUUCCUUCAUUCUCUCUUGCUUUGGCUAGCUACUGAUGGAACCUUCCAGUUAUGCAAAAGAAACUGGAAAUGCUGCAUAUCCUACUAAUGCAACUCUGUCUUCCUAGCAUCUUGGGACUAAUGUCUGUGAGCCAUUUAUGUACCAUACUAUCUCAGAGAAGGAGUUGAGGAGGAGCUAACUUUUAAAGGGGUUAUUAGUGUAGACUUCGUUUUUCUCAAGGGUUGAUCCGCCAACUUAGUUGUUGCUUACUAACUUCUGAAGUCCUAGGUUUCCCGUGCUUCAAAUAAGUGAUACCAGUGUUCUUUGUUGCCCGAUUUCUUGAGCUAAGGAGAGAGAACUAUUCCGGUUUUGAAAAAUUAAUUGAAAAAGCCAUAGGGCCGAUCGACUGAAUGAGAGCUUUAUGAGUUGCAAUCUUGUUGAUAUUGGUGCAUAAAGAUGAUUUAGGCAAUAGGAAUAAAGAUCUCAUAUCCAAAUUAUCACAUGCCUGACCCUGCAUAAACCCCUAGUGAGCCAAUUUGAGCCACAAAAGCCUAAUUUCUUUGUUGAAAAUUUUGAAGUCCUUAUAUCUGCUUACCUAUUAUAUCCCAUUUGUUGGCCUAUAUUUUCUACCCUAGUCACUAAAUUUAAAGUGCUAGCACAUUCUUGGGAGGGUAUUAUGGUGGCAAGAAAAAGAUGGAGGUUUUGUACCAUUCAUUAGGUGGUAUUUAUUUAUAAGAUACAAAGUGAGUGAAAAGCUGUCCCCUUCAAACGAAAAUAGAAUAAAAAGGCAGCCUUUCAUGAGUAAAAAAAAGCCAAGGCUAGAAAAAAAUAAAAAGGUAG